AACGCACGAGACCUGCGGACCUGCGGAGGGAUCAUUAGUGAACGCCCUCACGGGCUUAUAACUAUUCCAAACCUCUGUGAACCGUGCCCUUCGGGGCUAUUUUGCAAACAUGGUGUAAUGAACGUCAUAUAUCAUAACAAAACAAAACUUUCAGCAACGGAUCUCU
rnacentral:misc_RNA from 1 species